GCUGUUGCUUUAGCCAUCAAGAAAGGCAAGGCUGGGGACGCCGCAUCCCCGGGUGCGGAGGGCGAUGCCUAGGGGCGAUGCUGUGCCUGUGGCGGCCAAACAGUGCCACCCACUCCGGGAAACAAAGCCAAGCGCCGGACGCUAGGCUUCCUAGGUCUUCCACGUGUUCAACGGAAAUUCACAAAUUCUCUAGUAGCAGGAAGCCAAGAACAAGUUCUCUGGAUCACAUAGGCUCCUCUGCUGCUUCCUCAGAAACAGAGAUGGUACUUGGUGCCGAAGAAAGAGACAGAGACUGGGAAGGAGAAGGAAGUCAGCAGAAAGAAGAAAGACGCACAGGAAAGAGAGAAGGGUAGCUAAAAGAAAGAGGUCAGGGAGAUGGUUCCAGGAGAAGAAAAGAAAGUCAGUUGCUUUCUGAGAUCAGGUGGGAAGUUUAUCCUGUCAACUCCACCUUUAGAGUGCUAGUCUCUGGAGCCACAAGGACUGAAACUCUGCUUCAGAGACCCACCACUGAUGACAACCAUCAGGCUCAGGAACUGAAAAGAAAUGGGUGCAAAUGUGGCCGAGGGACUUGGGUUUUACAUUUAUUGCCGAGUCUGGUUUUCUUGAGUUUCAGGAUGAUAAAAUUGAAGCCCAGAGAAGCUUGGGAGCCUCAACUAUUAAUGGAAAAACCAUAACUAGAACUGAGUUUUCCUGAGACAUUUUUUACUAUUCAUUCCCCUGCUCUUGGGCCACUCCAGGGCACUGAGCACACUUGCUUUGGCUAUUUGGAGAAGAGGCCAAUAGACACAACUGGCUUCAUCUUCAGGGACACCCAAUAUCUGGCAGCCCUCAGCCCCAGCGGAGUCUUUAUUGAAAGAACUGAUUCAUAGACCAGGCGCGGUGGCUCACGCCUAUAAUCCCAACACUUUGGGAAGCUGAGGUGGGCGGAUCUCAGUCAGGAGAUCGAGACCAUCCUGGCUAACACGGUGAAACCCCAUCUCUACUAAAAAUACAAAAAUAAAAAAAAAAAAUAGCUGGGUGUGGUGGCAGGCGCCUGUAGUCCCAGCACUUUGGGAGGCCGAGGUGGGCAGAUCACAAGGUCAGGAGUUCAAGACCAGCCUGACCAACAUGGUGAAACCCCAUCUCUACUAAAAAAAUACAAAAAUUAGCUGGGUGUGGUGGUGCGCACCUGUAAUCCCAGCCACUCAGAAGGCUGAGGCAGGAGAAUUGCUUGAACCUAGGAGGGGAAGGUUGCAGUGAGCCGAGAUUGCGCCACUGCACUCCAGCCUGGUUGACAGAGCAAGACUCUGUCUCAAGAAAAAAAAAAAGAAAAAGAAAAAAAAAGAAAGAAAGAACUGAUUUAUGAAAAGAUUCUUAUCAUGAUUUUCAUUUUACUAGUCCAAAGAUCACUGAGUUAAACUGCCUAUUUUAGUAGAUGAACAAAAGUGCCUUGAAUAAAGACGUAAUUCAAUAAAAACUU
rnacentral:lncRNA from 1 species